AGGGGUGUAGUUCAGUGGUAGAGCACUUGCCUAGCAUGCAUCAGGCCUUGGGUUCAAUACCUAGCACUACAA
rfam:Heterocephalus glaber contig32044, whole genome shotgun sequence.